CUUUAUUCAUGUUAGAAAAAGUGGCAAUACAUAAUAAGACAAAGUACAUCAUUCAGUAAUACACAAGAAAUAUAUAUCAUUUGCUGAAUAUGAAUGUUCACCUAUUCCCCAAAGACCCAAGAUCACUGUCAGAACAAGAACACCAAGGAAGCUCUUUAUUGAUUAACCAAGAGAGUGCACUACAUGAGCUAAUAGGUGAUCGAGGCAAGGUGAAAUGGCACAGCUUUGUGUGUACAGAUUAAUGGGACACUCCAUACACCUAAAGCACUUUAGUGAUUUAUUUAUGAAGAGUGUAUCCUAUUUUACAAAAAGUGCAAAUUUUAAAAGAAGUUGGCACAUUUAUAAAUUAACUUUGUUACACCUCCCUCCACAACUGUCAAUCAGACAACAGGUCCUGUUACUUCCUGGUUUGUUUAGCUCAGUGGAGCUAAACUCAAGAGGCAGCAAUUGCCAAUUGUACCUUCCUUUCAAAGAUGUCUCAUUGAGCUGCAUUGGAAAGUCUGUGAUUGGACAGCCACAGGAAGUCUGAGCUAGGGAAGAUGGAGUUAAAUUGUUCCACUCAAGUAAACCCAAUGGAGCAGUAUAUAUAAAUAUACAUUUACCCUUAUAGUAAGGGAGAGGCAAAUACUAACUAG